UGGGGAAUCUUGCACAAUGGGGGAAACCCUGAUGCAGCGAUGCCGCGUGAGUGAAGAAGGCCUUUGGGUUGUAAAGCUCUUUCGUCGGGGAAGAAAAUGACUGUAUUCGAAUAAGAAGGUUUGGCUAACUUCGUGUUAGCAGCCGCGGUAAUACGAAGGGACCUAGCGUAGUUCGGAAUUACUGGGCUUAAAGAGCUCGUAGGUGGUUAAGAAAGUUGGUGGUGAAAGCCCAAGGCUUAACCUUGGAACUGUUACCAAAACUUUUUGAUUAGAGUAUGAUAGAGGUAAGUGGAAUUUCUAGUGUAGAGGUGAAAUUCGUAGAUAUUAGAAAGAACACCGAUUGCGAAGGCAACUUUCUGGAUCAUUACUGACACUGAGGAGCGAAAGCAUGGGUAGCGAAGAGG
rnacentral:rRNA from 1 species